CCAGUGUGGACCUGAAGCUGAGCUGGGAUGGGAUUCUAGCCCAAGGAGGGCUCAGGCCUGGAGGAUGCGGCAGAGAACAAGGACCUAUUCACGGGAUACCUUCCUUCUAGCAAAGGAAGAGGACAUAACCAUAUGCUUCAGUCUUGUGAGGGGGUCAAGAGCACCAUUUAUGGAGUCAGACUGCCUGGGUUUAAACCUCAGCCCUGGCACUCACUAGCUGUGUGACCUUAGGCUCUUCUUGGGUGGUUCACUCUGAUGAGCUGAGCUGCCAUGUUGCCAGCUGCUCUGUGGAAAUUCCUGCACAUCAAGGCAUUGAAUGCAGCCUUCAGCCAACAGCCAGUGCAAGAACUCAUAAGGAACUGAAUCCUGCCAACAGCCACUGAAUGAGCUUCGAAGCAGAUCGACCCCUCUCUUGAGCCCAGAGAUGACUUUAGCCCUGGCGGACGCUUUGAUUGCAGCCUGAGAGAGACCCAGAGUCAGAGGACCCAGUUAAGUCACACUUGGAUGCCUGACCCACAGACACUGUGGAAUAAUAAGUGUUGUAUAAAGCCAGUAUGUUUGGGGGUAAUUUGAUAUGCAGUAAUUGAUAACUAAUGUAAUCUCCCUUCAAUUGUGUUGUCAAGGUCUAGCUUGUCAGAUUGGUGGAGGGAUUCUGGGCUUGCUCUAAAACUAUACAGAAAAACCUAGUGCAGGAAAGACUGCCAGUGUUCACCAAAUCUGGUUUUCCUUCCCUUCCCAGGUACAAUGUAAACCACAGUUCCCAGCCUACCUUGAAUCCAGAGGGAGGAUGGGUCUGAUAAAUUGUGCCUAGAAGUGAUAAACACCUGGCAGAUGCACCCAGCCUGGUUCCUAAAGCAUUGCAUUUUAGGAGUUCCCUUCAUGCUGUUACUCUUUGCUUUAAGGUGGUUGGACACAGAAGAUGCAGGAGAGGACUUCAGUGAAGACUUAAAAGUUAGUGAGCUGAUAGAAGGACUCUUGUCUGAGUGCCCACUUUGAUGAGAGUCUCCUCGGAAACUGCCAACCAGGAGCAUUCUUAGUGGACUUUAUGGGAUCAAGAAUCAACCUAUGUUGCAUUAGCUCUUAAGAUGCUGGGGCUGUUUGUUAUGCAGCUAACCUAGCCUAUCCUGACCACCACACCUUUCUUAUAUGUUUUUGUCUAUUUCAUUUGCUUUGCAUGUUUAAAUUUUAAUAUCAAUUAAUUAUCUUUCAGUCCUUUAAACACAAUUGAUCUCUGUAAUACUUGAGGUAACCUGCAUUUCUUUGCUUUGCAAAUAUUUAUUAGAUACCAGGUACUAUGCUUCCAUUGAUGAAAGGGCACAGAUUUUCUCUUUAAAAAAUUCAUAAUGGGGGCCAGCCCAGUGGCACAAUGGUUAAGUUCACAUGUUCUGCUUCUGCAGCCCAGGGUUCACCAGUUCAGAUCCUGGGUGUGGACAUGGCACCGCUUGGGAAGCCAUGCUGUGGUAGGCAUCCCACAUAUAAAGUAGAGGAAGAUGGGCAUGGAUGUUAGCUCAGGGCCAGUCUUCCUCUGCAAAAAGAGGAGGAUUGGCAGCAGAUGUUAGCUCAGGGCUAAUCUUCCUCAAAAAAAAAAAUCAUAAUGAAUUAGGAAAAUAGAAACACGAAGAGGCAAUUGAAUAGAAGUAUAAUAAGGAUAUACUCAUAGAGCUUGUUCAAAUAUACUUUACACAUCAAGCACUAACCCUUAAUUACUCUUUUAACAGCACUUAAAACCCUCUUCAUCACAUUAAAUAUCUAUUACAUAUGGUGGUAAGAAAGUGUGGCUGUUUUGGAUCACAAUGAAUUUGGCUCAGAUAGAGGUAUUUUGUAUGUAGGAGACAAAAAAUGAAGUCACAGAAGGAAAAUAUGCCUAGACAUUUGAAAUGUAUUCAGUUGGCACUAGGGAGCCAUUGAUGCUUGUAGGGGGAAGAUACAGGAUAAACUUUUCUUUUCGAAAGAUUUAUUAGGCAGAGAUAUUAGGGUGGCCUAGAAGAGGGAAGGCAACAUGCAUGCGGGAAGACUACAUGGGAACCUUACUGCGGAGGAGAUCAAGCGAACAACUCCAGACUAUGAAAGAAAAGGCUGAGAGCUGAUUGAGAAGUUGAAGGGUUUCUUCAGAGUGAGAGCUGCAUCUUUUCCUGUGAUUCCCACCCCUCACCUCUAUGGAGAAGACAUCCUUCCCCUUUACUUGGGCUAGUUGAGCCGUGGCUGUCUUGAAGAGGACAGCGGUUUCGGAUAAGUUCGCACGUCUAUGUAUCUCCUGCUCUCAACAAAAUGUUUAUGGAAUGGUACCCAGCUCUCGCAUAGAAGGAAGCAGUGAUUCGCUCUACCGAUCGGCACGUGUUCGCUCUCCCCGAUGCUGUUUGAGGGAACAUGGAGUGAAGGGCUCACAGACCUGGUACAAGGAGUUACAACAGACACUCGGAGGAACUGAAGUGGCUUCCUGCACUCCUUCCGGCCUGAAACUUCCUUUGUUCCUGUAAUCUCAAAACAGCUGUUUCCUCUGGAAUCACAAACCCCAGCUGGCAGAGCCUCUGCCUCCUGGAUCCUGCUGCACAUAAUACUGUUAAUGAUUCCAGAGGGAAACUUCUAGAAACAACGUGAGAGAUUAUCGCUGUUAACUCUCUAAACAAGGUGCUGCGCUGAAGGUAGAGUGUUGAACCCGGUUCCUUUUCUCGGUUGGGCAGGGUCAAAGUGCCAACAGUGAAGAAUCCAGUCUGGGAAAUCACAGUGCCAGUUAUACCUGCAGUCAUGGAAAAGGAUGACAACAAGGAGACACAGAGAUUUUUGAGUUUGAAGUACCUUUUCAGACACCUGCAGAUUCAACUGGAGGCCGUGGGUUCACAACGAUGCUGCUUUUUCAUCUGCUCUGAACUUGCUCUUACACAGGCGUUGAUAAAAACAGGGCAUACAGGAAAUAACAUGGAUUUAGGAACCUUGCAGACCUGGUUUGUGACAUAUAUGUCAACUCUGUUGUCUUAUGCAAUUUACUUGACUUGUGUGAGCCUCGCUUUUUAUUGGCAAGUGAAGAUCAUAACCUAGUUUGCUUUGCUGCUAUGAGGGUUGAAUGUCUCAAAAAAUACAAUGUUCCCAAUACAGUGUAAUAUCCUUGUUCUUGUCUCACUUUCCAUAGAGAGAGGAAACUCCCCUGCUGGACCCCCCCCAGAGGCACCAAUGGGUUUUCUACAGAUCUCAAUAUAACCCAACUUUCUCUUAUUUCCAUAGUUACUUACCUUUUCCACAAGUACAUCCUUCUCUUGGGUUACUGGCAUUUUGAAAAUAGGCUAUUCCAAGAUGCAUUUCCCUUUCCUGUACUUGAAGUGGUCCUAAUCCACACCAAAGUGGUCCCAAUCUGAGUGGUCCUCCAUCUUUAGAAGAUGGCAC
ensembl:lncRNA